CAGGUUUCUGUCGACAUUACAGUUUCUGAAAAAUACAAUAGUAAGCUUUACUACACGUUAUAAAUGUAUAUUCAAUGUAUAUAAAAAAAAAUAACAAUUCUUCUAUAGAAAAUAUAAAUUUAACUUCAAAAUGUAUAAGAAAAAAAAACACUUCAGACUUAUCCCACUUCUGACACCAAUUGUCACGGACGGACGGAUGGAGAAGUCUUUCAGUGCUAUUUUACAAUAUUGACAAAAGAAUCAACGAUUAGAAUAAAUAAAUUAUUUAAUAAACAAACAAAAAAAAUAAACAAUUAAGAAGAAAAAAUACAUCAAAUUAUUAUAAACAUUAAAGUCCAAAUAAAUAGUCCAACAGCUUCAGUAGUUUGUAUUGUAUAUCCAGAUUACUUCCCUUUAUAUCGUUAUGACGGUUAUGGUAUCGUUAUGACGGUUAUGGUAUCGUGCACGACAGUUCCACUAUAAUAUGUAGAUAUGUUGUUUGAUGAAUUAUCAUGUAUGAUUGCGUUCAAUCUGUAUGACCACUCCUUAACACCGCAGCAUUGUAUUACUCUGGUGCAGGCUGGAACCUGGUAAUAAUAUAAUUGUACAAACUCUUUAGUACGAUUAUCAAUUUAGAUAUGCAUUUUACUUGCACGUUCAUGCAACAUAAACAUGAACUCUAUAAUCUCACGUUCAUAAAAUGAACAUAUAUAUUCUAUUAAUUUACAUAGAUAAAUACGCACAUACAUUUUAUAUGUAGCAAAAUGUGUCAUACUGUAAUAAAUAUCAUAAUUUGCAUGAUAGUUUCACGUACAUAAGGAAAUUCGGAACCUUGUA
rnacentral:lncRNA from 1 species